CUACGGGCGGCACCAGUGGGGAAUAUUGGACAAUGGGGGAAACCCUGAUCCAGCAAUGCCGCGUGUGUGAAGAAGGCCUGCGGGUUGUAAAGCACUUUCGGUUGGGAGGACUGCUUCUAGCACUAAUAUUGUUGGAAGUUGACGUUACCUUCAGAAGAAGCACCGGCUAACUCCGUGCCAGCAGCCGCGGUAAUACGGAGGGUGUCAAGCGUUAAUCGGAAUUACUGGGCGUAAAGCGCGCGUAGGCGGCUAGAUCAGUCGGGUGUGAAAGCCCCGGGCUUAACCUGGGAACUGCGUCCGAGACUGGCGCGCUUGAGUACAGGAGAGGAGAGGGGAAUUCAACAUGUAGCGGUGAAAUGCGUAGAUAUGUGGAGGAACAGCAAUGGCGAAGGCAGCUCUCUGGCCUGAUAAUGACGCUGAGGUGCGAAAGCGUGGGGAGCAAACAGGAUUAGAUACCCGCGUAGUC
rnacentral:rRNA from 1 species